rnacentral:sRNA from 1 species
CCUUACCUCCGAAAGAGAGAGUGAGAACUCUCGCCGGGUUCGAGCAGAACUGCGAUGAACGGCCGCAAGCCGCUCCGAAGGGGUGAGCCACGCAGUGGCGAAUCAUCCCUCCCUCACCGCCG